UACAGAGGGGGCAAGCGUUGUUCGGAAUUACUGGGCGUAAAGGGCGCGUAGGCGGCCUGCUAAGUCGAACGUGAAAUCCCUGGGCUCAACCCAGGAACUGCGUCCGAGACUGGUUGGCUUGAAUCCGGGAGAGGGAUGUGGAAUUCCAGGUGUAGCGGUGAAAUGCGUAGAUAUCUGGAGGAACACCGGUGGCGAAGGCGGCAUCCUGGACCGAUAUUGACGCUGAGGAGCGAAAGCCAGGGGAGCAAACGGG
rnacentral:rRNA from 1 species